rnacentral:rRNA from 1 species
AGCUCCAAUAGCGUAUAUUAAAGUUGUUGCAGUUAAAAAGCUCGUAGUUGGAUUUCUGGAGGAGUGCCAAUGUCCGCAUGUUGCGUGUGCAGCGGCGCUCUUCCAUCCUUCUGUUAACGAUUCUUGGUAUUCAGUUACUGGUUUCGGGCUCAGAUAUUUUACCUUGAGAAAAUUAGAGUGUUUCAGGCAGGCUUGCGCCGGAAUACAUUAGCAUGGAAUAAUAGAAUAGGACUUCGGGCUCCUUUGUUGGUUUGAGGGUCUGGAGUAAUGAUUAAUAGGGACAGUUGGGGGCAUUAGUAUUUAAUUGUCAGAGGUGAAAUUCUCGGAUUUGUUAAAGACUAACUUAUGCGAAAGCAUUUGCCAAGGAUGUUUUCA